rnacentral:rRNA from 1 species
UACAGAGACUGCGAGCGUUAUUCGGAUUCACUGGGCGUAGAGGGUGCGCAGGCGGCCAAGUGUGUGAGGCGUGAAAGCCCGGGGCUUAACCCCGGAAUUGCACCUCAAACUACAUGGCUAGAGUAUUGGAGAGGGUAACGGAAUUCACGGUGUAGCAGUGAAAUGCGUAGAUAUCGUGAGGAACACCAGAGGCGAAGGCGGUUACCUGGACAAUUACUGACGCUCAGGCACGAAAGCGUGGGUAGCAAAAGGG